rnacentral:lncRNA from 1 species
UUUUAAUGAGAUAACCAAGGUUCUUAUGAUGUUUUUACCUAACUAAGCUAAUUAUGUCAUUUUGGAGGAUAAUUAGCUAAGUAUGUCUUUUUUGGGGAAAAUAAGCUAAAUUGAAGAAGAAAGAGAAGAAGCAAGAAGAGAAGAAGGAGAAUAAAAAGAAGAAGGCGGAGGAGGAGGACGAGAAGGAGAAGGAGGAGGGGAAGAAUAAGAAAACAAAAAGAAAACA